GCUGGGCCGCGGCUCCGCGGGGCUAGUGCCCACCCCUGGGGCAAGUUCAAACAUCCACUGCGCCCUGAACAUCUGGAGCUGCACCUGCAGGUCCGCUCCGGCAGGACUGCCGUCCUCCUCCUCAUCUCCUCCUCUGGUGGCAUCAGAAUGACACUCUUCCUCAGCUUCUGCCUGGGGGAAACCAAAGUGACAUCAGCAAUCUGUGAACAGCAGUUUCCUCUGUGAUCUGAUCUCCUCCCGGACACGCUCACCCUUUAGUCCCAUAACAUCUACGGUAGCGGAACCAC